CUCAGUUCAGAUUGCAGGCUGCAACCCGCCUGCAUGAAGUCGGAAUUGCUAGUAAUCGCGGAUCAGCAUGCCGCGGUGAAUACGUUCCCGGGCCUUGUACACACCGCCCGUCACACUAUGGGAGUCGGGAAUGCCCGAAGUCAGUGGCCCAACCGGAAGGGGGGAGCUGCCGAAGGCAGGCCCGGUGACUGGGGUGAAGUCGUAACAAGGUACC
rnacentral:rRNA from 1 species